rnacentral:rRNA from 1 species
CGGAGAAUUUAUUUCGGUAAAUUCUUAGUGGCGAACGGGUGAGUAACGCGUAGGCAACCUGCCCUUUGGAUGGGGACAACAUUCCGAAAGGAGUGCUAAUACCGAAUGUGAUCCAUUUCUCGCAUGAGAGAUGGAUGAAAGAUGGCCUCUAUUUAUAAGCUAUCGCCAAAGGAUGGGCCUGCGUCUGAUUAGUUAGUUGGUGGGGUAACGGCUCACCAAGACGAUGAUCAGUAGCCGGUCUGAGAGGAUGAACGGCCACAUUGGGACUGAGACACGGCCCAAACUCCUACGGGAGGCAGCAGUGGGGAAUCUUCCGCAAUGGACGAAAGUCUGACGGAGCAACGCCGCGUGAGUGAUGAAGGUUUUCGGACUGUAAAACUCUGUUGUCAGGGACGAAGGUGCGAUCUGCGAAUAGUUGAUCGUAUUGACGGUACCUGACGAGGAAGCCACGGCUAACUACGUGCCAGCAGCCGCGGUAAUACGUAGGUGGCAAGCGUUGUCCGGAAUUAUUGGGCGUAAAGAGCAUGUAGGUGGGCUUUUAAGUCCGAUGUGAAAAUGCGGGGCUCAACCCCGUAUGGCAUUGGAUACUGGAAGUCUUGAGUGCAGGAGAGGAAAGGGGAAUUCCCAGUGUAGCGGUGAAAUGCGUAGAUAUUGGGAGGAACACCAGUGGCGAAGGCGCCUUUCUGGACUGUGUCUGACACUGAGAUGCGAAAGCUAGGGUAGCAA